rnacentral:lncRNA from 1 species
AGUUUUACGAUAGAGUAGCAAACUAAUAACCUCUAAAAUCCUUUCUAGUUUUGAUUUCUUUGGAUUAGCUUCUCAAGGAUACUUUCCAAUCACUUCAAGCAGCAGUGCUGUGUCUCAGGCUGAUAUUCACUCUUCUUUAUGAUCACCAAGCACCUCACCAAAGGCAGAGGAAAUGCUGACUUUACAUUGACACAGACUUCAGAGAAACUUGACUGUUUAGUCAACAGGUUUGCCAUAAUGUGCACAGACCAAUAUUAGCAGCAAAAUAAGAAAAAAAGGAAA